UUUUUUUCUGCGAAAGCAGAAAGGUAGGGGUUAACUCUUCGGAUAUCCUAAAACGAUAUCGUUAGAGGGCUCUACUAUGUAGAGGCAGCAUGUCCAGAAGAGAUUCUGGGAUGCUUGCUGUCAAGAUACAACAGUACCUUAGCAGGUAACACUGCGGUCCUUUUGGAUCGGUGCUCAAGUGAAGCGAUUUCAAGUAUUCCAGAAACCGGUGCACUCACGAGCCCGUUCAGCUUUGCUGAAUAGAGCCUCGUGUUUCCCGAAAGCAGUGGCACCAAGGUGUCGCUGACGUUCCGGCAACGGCCAAGAUGAACGAUUGUCCAAGAGGCGUUUAACACGAUACGAUCAAGUUAGGGGCCCUGGAGGGUCCCGUAGUCCUGAGCGCAAUAGCGUGUUUGCAAUCGCAACCGUCACGAAGGCGGCGCAAUAGCGUACCGAAAGGAGUCUCUAGCGAGACCGUUUCGAUGUCAAGACAAAAUCAACGAUAGUCAAUUAGUCUAGGAUCUGUAGUUAGUAUACUAGCCACAGAUGACGUAGUAUAUUCUACUAUUUCAGAUUUCUCCCAUAGGGAUAGUCUAUUGAAUAGAAUAUUACUCAUCUCCUACCAUUCACCUAUUGGUGAAAAA
rnacentral:misc_RNA from 1 species